GACGAACGCUGGCGGCGUGCUUAACACAUGCAAGUCGAACGGAAAGGCCCUGCUUUUGUGGGGUGCUCGAGUGGCGAACGGGUGAGUAACACGUGAGUAACCUGCCCUUGACUUUGGGACAACUUCAGGAAACUGGGGCUAAUACCGGCUAGGAGCUCCUGCUGCAUGGUGGGGGUUGGAAAGUUUCGGCGGUUGGGGAUGGACUCGCGGCUUAUCAGCUUGUUGGUGGGGUAGUGGCUUACCAAGGCUUUGACGGGUAGCCGGCCUGAGAGGGUGACCGGCCACAUUGGGACUGAGAUAGGGCCCAGACUCCUACGGGAGGCAGCAGUGGGGAAUAUUGCACAGUGGGCGGAAGCCUGAUGCAGCAACGCCGCGUGCGGGAUGACGGCCUUCGGGUUGUAAACCGCUUUCGCCUGUGACGAAGCGUGAGUGACGGUAAUGGGUAAAGAAGCACCGGCUAACUACGUG
rnacentral:rRNA from 1 species